AUGCUAAUAUGAACUCAUUUCCCUCAUAUUCAGAUAUAGAAGAGCAAAAUUUUUUGGGUAUUUUAGUUUUCAAGCACCUAUGUAUUAUUUAUAACAAAUAAUAGAUUAUAAUUUAUUUUUUUCAUUGUCAUUCCAGGUAGACAUAAAAAGUUUGAAGUAUGCACAAAGCCUGAAAGUGUCAAAUAUGGAACCUAAAAAAACCUGCCUUUGCCACUGACUGUAUAAAGGUUUUUUAAGGUCUGUUUGUCAAGCGUCAAGUCAGGUUAUCUUGCUACUGGUACCAUGUAGUACAUCUUGCUUAAGCAGGUUGUACGCCAUCCAUACGACGUUUGGGCAUCUGUUUGUAAAAUAUUGCUGCAAAUCUUUUUGAGAGAGCCAUUACUAUGGAGAACCAUCUAAACCAUACAAGUGUGGAAACAUGGAUCAGAACAUACCUGGCC
rnacentral:lncRNA from 1 species